rnacentral:rRNA from 1 species
UACGUAGGGGGCAAGCGUUGUCCGGAAUCAUUGGGCGUAAAGCGCGUGUAGGCGGUCCGGUAAGUCGGCUGUGAAAGUCCAGGGCUCAACCCUGGGAUGCCGGUCGAUACUGCCGGACUAGAGUUCGGAAGAGGCGAGUGGAAUUCCUGGUGUAGCGGUGAAAUGCGCAGAUAUCAGGAAGAACACCCGUGGCGAAGGCGGCUCUCUGGGACGGUACUGACGCUGAGACGCGAAAGCGUGGGGAGCGAACAGG